GGUGAACGCUGGCGGCGUGCUUAAGACAUGCAAGUCGAACGGCAGUCUUCGGACUGUAGUGGCGCACGGGUGAGUAACGCGUAACUGACCUACCCCAAAGUCGCGGAUAACGAUUCGAAAGAAUCGCUAAUACGUGAUGUGCUGUCAGAUUGUGUUCUGCCAGUAAAGAUUGAUUGCUUUGGGAUGGGGUUGCGUUCCAUCAGCUAGUUGGUGGGGUAAAGGCCCACCAAGGCGACGACGGAUAGCCGGCCUGAGAGGGUGGCCGGCCACAGGGGGACUGAGACACGGGUCCCACUCCUACGGGAGGCAGCAGUUAGGAAUCUUCCACAAUGGGCGAAAGCCUGAUGGAGCGACGCCGCGUGAGGGAUGAAGGUCUUCGGAUCGUAAACCUCUGGAUCAGGGACGAAAGACACUUCGGUGGGAUGACGGUACCUGAGUAAUAGCACCGGCUAACUCCGUGCCAGCCGCCGCCGUAAUAC
rnacentral:rRNA from 1 species